GAACGGUUGCUUGCAGCGAUUUUUACCCAGAGACAUUCUUUUACGUAAAAAGUCACGGAAAUGUAUACUUUUUUAUUCAGUAGUUUUAUACAGAGACACUGUAGUCGUGAUGGAACAAGAACCUAUGAUUAACAGUAAGAAACAUACCCAAGCAAUCACUUCAUAUAUACGAUACCCUUGUAUGAUACUCACCAAGGUGUAGCUGCUAUAAUUUACAUCAAACAAAAUA